rnacentral:rRNA from 3 species
AUAACGACUCUCGGCAACGGAUAUCUCGGCUCUCGCAUCGAUGAAGAACGUAGCGAAAUGCGAUACUUGGUGUGAAUUGCAGAAUCCCGUGAACCAUCGAGUCUUUGAACGCAAGUUGCGCCCCAAGCCUUCUGGCCGAGGGCACGUCUGCCUGGGUGUCACAA